GGAAAGGGAGGAGGCAUUACCGGCGGCAGGAGUAGAGGAAGAGGAAGAGGGAGAGGAAGAGGAAGAGGUGAAGGGAGCGUUACCGAAGCUUGUGGCUAAUGGGACGAAAGGUCACAUCUCCGAGCAAGCUGCUUCACCUCCCUCUCUAACAAGCGUUAACACAUUGUCCAAGGUCGCCGCGUCACAGAAUAACUCGCGCCGCACGGGAAGCCGCCGAGUGUGUCUCCGCAGUGCCGCCCUCCCUGGCUCUCCGUCACCGUGUCUCCCCGCCACUCACAAGCACUUAACGGGG